AUUGAACGCUGGCGGCAGGCUUAACACAUGCAAGUCGAACGGUAACAUAAAGAAGCUUGCUUCUUUGAUGACGAGUGGCGGACGGGUGAGUAAUGCUUGGGAAUCUAGCUUAUGGAGGGGGAUAACUACGGGAAACUGUAGCUAAUACCGCGUAGAAUCGGGAGAUGAAAGUGUGGGACCUUCGGGCCACAUGCCAUAGGAUGAGCCCAAGUGGGAUUAGGUAGUUGGUGAGGUAAAGGCUCACCAAGCCGACGAUCUCUAGCUGGUCUGAGAGGAUGACCAGCCACACUGGGACUGAGACACGGCCCAGACUCCUACGGGAGGCAGCAGUGGGGAAUAUUGCGCAAUGGGGGCAACCCUGACGCAGCCAUGCCGCGUGAAUGAAGAAGGCCUUCGGGUUGUAAAGUUCUUUCGGUAGCGAGGAAGGCAUUUAGUUUAAUAGACUAGGUGAUUGACGUUAACUACAGAAGAAGCACCGGCUAACUCCGUGCCAGCAGCCGCGGUAAUACGGAGGGUGCGAGCGUUAAUCGGAAUAACUGGGCGUAAAGGGCACGCAGGCGGUGACUUAAGUGAGGUGUGAAAGCCCCGGGCUUAACCUGGGAAUUGCAUUUCAUACUGGGUCGCUAGAGUACUUUAGGGAGGGGUAGAAUUCCACGUGUAGCGGUGAAAUGCGUAGAGAUGUGGAGGAAUACCGAAGGCGAAGGCAGCCCCUUGGGAAUGUACUGACGCUCAUGUGCGAAAGCGUGGGGAGCAAACAGG
rnacentral:rRNA from 1 species